CCUACGGGAGGCUGCAGUGGGGAAUAUUGGACAAUGGGCGAAAGCCUGAUCCAGCCAUGCCGCGUGUGUGAAGAAGGCCUUCGGGUUGUAAAGCACUUUCAGUGGGGAAGAAAGCCUUGGGGCUAAUACCCUCGAGGAAGGACAUCACCCACAGAAGAAGCACCGGCUGAACUCCGUGCCAGCAGCCGCGGUAAUACGGAGGGUGCGAGCGUUAAUCGGAAUUACUGGGCGUAAAGCGCGCGUAGGCGGUCUGAUAAGCCGGUUGUGAAAGCCCCGGGCUCAACCUGGGAACGGCAUCCGGAACUGUCAGGCUAGAGUGCAGGAGAGGAAGGUAGAAUUCCCGGUGUAGCGGUGAAAUGCGUAGAGAUCGGGAGGAAUACCAGAGGCGAAGGCGGCCUUCUGGACUGACACUGACGCUGAGGUGCGAAAGCGUGGGUAGCAAACAGGAUUAGAUACCCCUGUAGUC
rnacentral:rRNA from 1 species